AACCCUCGUGUUAAUAUUACAUACCUCGAACUUCGUUUUUGGUCGUAGAAGCAUCCCUACAUCGUAGGGUCUCUCGGAAGAUUCAAUUUUUUCACCGCUUGUAGAUGCGGUAGAGGCAUAUCUGAACAGCUUUAACGCAUGAAUUUGAGGAAUCAAAUACCCCCGAAAUCGAUUAUAACUCAACAUGGGGAUUUCCAACUAAACCUAUGGUAAGAACUCACAAUAUGAUGGACUGCGAAUUAACGAGUUCAAUCAUAAUUUGCGACGCUCAGUGCUAAAAUCUUUACACAAUCCAAGGUGUCGUUAACUGUGUAAAUAAAUGAACAUUGAUCUAGGGAAUACAACAUAGAGGAAAUUGAACACAUUAGCUAUAAUAAUGAAGAACUUUGUUUUAUUGUUUG